UCUCUCCAACAAAGAAAACAAAAAAGGAAACCCAGAGGAUGACUGUUAAGGCCCUGCUUCAGAGGAGGAGACGACAGACCUAGGAUGCCAUCCAUGGUGCGCGGCUCAGCGGCGCGACGUCGGCUCACGUGGUGGUGCAGCCUUCACCUCGGCAGGCUUUCCUCUUGCACAGCUGAGACCUGAACAGCGCUGGGCAGGUGACACCUGGCCUCUCCGGGAACCUGCGGCCCCAGGGGCCCCGCUACUUCUUGCUGGGACCGUCUACUUUGGACUGUUGAGAAAGGGAGAAGCAGGCCUCCAAUGAGGCUCUGGCUCAGUAAUCACAGAGCAAGUAAUUGCUCCCACCGGCACAGAGGCCUGCAGGGGCGGAAGUGUGUGGGACGCGCCCGUCCCGUCCAGCUGUGGAGCGCCCCAGCCUCUGUCCCUUAAACUCCGCAGCGCCUCUCAUUGUCGUGACGUCUCAAGACACUCUUCGGAGUCCAAGAAACCCUGGAGCAGUUCUGCCGGCUUUGAGAGCCACAGCUUUAAAGAAAUGUUAUUUCUAUGUAUGACUCUUCUGUCAGGGCAGAGGCACCGAUAACUUCCCAGAAAUCGUUUCUACAUCUCUAGGACCAUCUUUCAUGUCACUUAACCGCUGUUUUGCACAUGAGUCAGGCUCAGAGACAUGAAGUCAUCUGUCCCAUGUCACACAGCCCGUCCCAGCUGUGAACAGCUCAGGCUUGUGGUCUUGCCACCCCCAGGUCACUCCACCCCCUCCCCGCUCCCCGCCCGCUGGGGGUGUACUGAGAACUCUGGGUGUCCACUGGAGCCUCAGCACCCCUCCCCUCCAGCCCCUGGAAUGCUGUGUCUGACUCCAGGACCCCUGAUCCAGCCUCCCGGGAAGCAGAGCAGCCUGCUUCGUUUCCUACAGGGCUUCGCAGGGGCAGCAGAUGGUGAUGUGAUGUGAGUUUUUUCUAGAUCACUGUGGAGCCUGACGGUACCUGCGGCAGGAACAAGCUUCCCUUCUCACUCAGCAUCUCUGCCUUCUGCGGCCCAGCUGGUGAGGCGCGCUCUGCUUCUCCUCCCCUCCAGCUCUUCUGUGCAGCCUCGCCCUGAGUGUGAGCAUACCCUUCCCUCGCCCUGGACACUAGGUGAGUGAUGCCUGGAGGGUGUCUCACACGGCUGUCUCCCAGACACAUUAACAG